rnacentral:rRNA from 1 species
UAGAGUUUGAUCCUGGCUCAGAUUGAACGCUGGCGGCAGGCCUAACACAUGCAAGUCGAGCGGAAACGAGUUAUCUGAACCUUCGGGGAACGAUAACGGCGUCGAGCGGCGGACGGGUGAGUAAUGCCUAGGAAAUUGCCUUGAUGUGGGGGAUAACCAUUGGAAACGAUGGCUAAUACCGCAUGAUGCCUACGGGCCAAAGAGGGGGACCUUCGGGCCUCUCGCGUCAAGAUAUGCCUAGGUGGGAUUAGCUAGUUGGUGAGGUAAUGGCUCACCAAGGCGACGAUCCCUAGCUGGUCUGAGAGGAUGAUCAGCCACACUGGAACUGAGACACGGUCCAGACUCCUACGGGAGGCAGCAGUGGGGAAUAUUGCACAAUGGGCGCAAGCCUGAUGCAGCCAUGCCGCGUGUAUGAAGAAGGCCUUCGGGUUGUAAAGUACUUUCAGCAGUGAGGAAGGGGGUGUCGUUAAUAGCGGC